rnacentral:rRNA from 1 species
UACGGAGGGUCCGAGCGUUAAUCGGAAUUACUGGGCGUAAAGCGCGCGUAGGCGGCUAUAUAAGUCAGAUGUGAAAUCCCUGGGCUCAACCUAGGAACUGCAUUUGAAACUGUAUGGCUAGAGUAUGGUAGAGGUGAGUGGAAUUUCAGGUGUAGCGGUGAAAUGCGUAGAGAUCUGAAGGAACAUCAGUGGCGAAGGCGACUCACUGGGCCAUUACUGACGCUGAGGUGCGAAAGCGUGGGUAGCAAACAGGAUUAGAUACCCUAGUAGUCC